AGCUAUUGAACUUGUAUAAGUAUAUAUUUUGAAAGUAUAAAAAAGAAAAAAAAUUUUCUAAUAGCUU
rnacentral:tRNA from 1 species